UUCGCCCUUAGAGUUUGAUCCUGGCUCAGGAUGAACGCUGGCGGCGUGCCUAACACAUGCAAGUCGAGCGAUUCUCUUCGGAGAAGAGCGGCGGACGGGUGAGUAACGCGUGGGUAACCUGCCCUGUACACACGGAUAACAUACCGAAAGGUAUGCUAAUACGAGAUAACAUAAGAAAUUCGCAUGUUUUUCUUAUCAAAGCUCCGGCGGUACAGGAUGGACCCGCGUCUGAUUAGCUAGUUGGUGAGGUAAUGGCUCACCAAGGCGACGAUCAGUAGCCGACCUGAGAGGGUGAUCGGCCACAUUGGAACUGAGACACGGUCCAAACUCCUACGGGAGGCAGCAGUGGGGAAUAUUGCACAAUGGGCGAAAGCCUGAUGCAGCAACGCCGCGUGAGCGAUGAAGGCCUUCGGGUCGUAAAGCUCUAUCAGCAGGGAAGAUAAUGACGGUACCUGACUAAGAAGCACCGGCUAAAUACGUGCCAGCAGCCGCGGUAAUACGUAUGGUGCAAGCGUUAUCCGGAUUUACUGGGUGUAAAGGGAGCGCAGGCGGUGCGGCAAGUCUGAUGUGAAAGCCCGGGGCUCAACCCCGGUACUGCAUUGGAAACUGUCGUACUAGAGUGUCGGAGGGGUAAGCGGAAUUCCUAGUGUAGCGGUGAAAUGCGUAGAUAUUAGGAGGAACACCAGUGGCGAAGGCGGUCUACUGGGCACCAACUGACGCUGAGGCUCGAAAGCAUGGGUAGCAAACAGGAUUAGAUACCCUGGUAGUCCAUGCCGUAAACGAUGAUUACUAGGUGUUGGGGGAUUGACCCCCUCAGUGCCGCAGUUAACACAAUAAGUAAUCCACCUGGGGAGUACGACCGCAAGGUUGAAACUCAAAGGAAUUGACGGGGGCCCGCACAAGCAGUGGAGUAUGUGGUUUAAUUCGAAGCAACGCGAAGAACCUUACCAGGUCUUGACAUCCGAUGCAUAACACAGAGAUGUGUGAAAUCCUUCGGGACAUCGAGACAGGUGGUGCAUGGUUGUCGUCAGCUCGUGUCGUGAGAUGUUGGGUUAAGUCCCGCAACGAGCGCAACCCUUAUUGCCAGUUACUACGUUAAGAGGACUCUGGCGAGACUGCCGUUGACAAAACGGAGGAAGGUGGGGAUGACGUCAAAUCAUCAUGCCCUUUAUGACCUGGGCUACACACGUACUACAAUGGCGUUAAACAAAGAGAAGCAAGACCGCGAGGUGGAGCAAAACUCAAAAACAACGUCUCAGUUCAGAUUGCAGGCUGCAACUCGCCUGCAUGAAGUCGGAAUUGCUAGUAAUCGCGGAUCAGCAUGCCGCGGUGAAUACGUUCCCGGGCCUUGCACACACCGCCCGUCA
rnacentral:rRNA from 1 species